AGGGCGGGACACGUGACAUCCUGUCUGAAUAUGGGGGGACCAUCCUCCAAGGCUAAAUACUCCUGACUGACCGAUAGUGAACCAGUACCGUGAGGGAAAGGCGAAAAGAACCCCGGCGAGGGGAGUGAAACAGAACCUGAAACCGUGUACGUACAAGCAGUGGGAGCACCUUCGUGGUGUGACUGCGUACCUUUUGUAUAAUGGGUCAGCGACUUAUAUUUUGUAGCAAGGUUAACCGAAUAGGGGAGCCGUAGGGAAACCGAGUCUUAACUGGGCGUCUAGUUGCAAGGUAUAGACCCGAAACCCGGUGAUCUAGCCAUGGGCAGGUUGAAGGUUGGGUAACACUAACUGGAGGACCGAACCGACUAAUGUUGAAAAAUUAGCGGAUGACUUGUGGCUGGGGGUGAAAGGCCAAUCAAACCGGGAGAUAGCUGGUUCUCCCCGAAAGCUAUUUAGGUAGCGCCUCGUGAACUCAUCUUCGGGGGUAGAGCACUGUUUCGGCUAGGGGGUCAUCCCGACUUACCAAACCGAUGCAAACUCCGAAUACCGAAGAAUGUUAUCACGGGAGACACACGGCGGGUGCUAACGUCCGUCGUGAAGAGGGAAACAACCCAGACCGCCAGCUAAGGUCCCAAAGUCAUGGUUAAGUGGGAAACGAUGUGGGAAGGCACAGACAGCCAGGAUGUUGGCUUAGAAGCAGCCAUCAUUUAAAGAAAGCGUAAUAGCUCACUGGUCGAGUCGGCCUGCGCGGAAGAUGUAACGGGGCUAAACCAUGCACCGAAGCUGCGGCAGCGAACGUAUCACUUAAAACGCUUAACGUGACGGCAAAGCCGACAUGUUCAAGCCACACUAAACGUUGAGUUGGCCGGUGUGCUGACAAACGAACAGGCGUUUUAAGGAUACGUUCGUUGGGUAGGGGAGCGUUCUGUAAGCCGUUGAAGGUGACCUGUGAGGGUUGCUGGAGGUAUCAGAAGUGCGAAUGCUGACAUAAGUAACGAUAAUGCGGGUGAAAAACCCGCACGCCGGAAGACCAAGGGUUCCUGUCCAACGUUAAUCGGGGCAGGGUGAGUCGACCCCUAAGGCGAGGCUGAAAAGCGUAGUCGAUGGGAAACAGGUUAAUAUUCCUGUACUUGGUGUUACUGCGAAGGGGGGACGGAGAAGGCUAGGCUAGCCGGGCGACGGUUGUCCCGGUUUAAGCAUGUAGGCGGAGUGACCAGGUAAAUCCGGUUGCUUAUC
rnacentral:rRNA from 1 species